rnacentral:rRNA from 1 species
GAUGAACGCUGGCGGCGUGCCUAAUACAUGCAAGUCGAGCGAACAGACGAGGAGCUUGCUCCUCUGACGUUAGCGGCGGACGGGUGAGUAACACGUGGAUAACCUACCUAUAAGACUGGGAUAACUUCGGGAAACCGGAGCUAAUACCGGAUAAUAUAUUGAACCGCAUGGUUCAAUAGUGAAAGACGGUUUUGCUGUCACUUAUAGAUGGAUCCGCGCCGCAUUAGCUAGUUGGUAAGGUAACGGCUUACCAAGGCGACGAUGCGUAGCCGACCUGAGAGGGUGAUCGGCCACACUGGAACUGAGACACGGUCCAGACUCCUACGGGAGGCAGCAGUAGGGAAUCUUCCGCAAUGGGCGAAAGCCUGACGGAGCAACGCCGGGUGAGUGAUGAAGGUCUUCGGAUCGUAAAACUCUGUUAUUAGGGAAGAACAAAUGUGUAAGUAACUAUGCACGUCUUGACGGUACCUAAUCAGAAAGCCACGGCUAACUACGUG